rnacentral:rRNA from 1 species
GACGAACGCUGGCGGCGUGCUUAACACAUGCAAGUCGAACGAUGAAGCCGGAGCUUGCUCUGGUGAAUUAGUGGCGAACGGGUGAGUAACACGUGAGUAACCUGCCCUUGACUCUGGGAUAACUGCUAGAAAUGGUAGCUAAUACCGGAUACGACCCUCGGAGGCAUCUCCAGGGGGUGGAAGGAAUUUCGGUCAAGGAUGGACUCGCGGCCUAUCAGCUAGUUGGUGAGGUAACGGCUCACCAAGGCGACGACGGGUAGCCGGCCUGAGAGGGUGACCGGCCACACUGGGACUGAGACACGGCCCAGACUCCUACGGGAGGCAACAGUGGGGAAUAUUGCACAAUGGGCGCAAGCCUGAUGCAGCAACGCCGCGUGAGGGAUGACGGCCUUCGGGUUGUAAACCUCUUUUAGUAGGGAAGAAGCGAAAGUGACGGUACCUGCAGAAAAAGCACCGGCUAACUACGUGCCAGCAGCCGCGGUAA